ACCAGGAGUGACCUCCUCAACAUCGCCCCCCUCCCACCAGGAUCCAGUGAAUCUUCCUCCUUAAGUGCCCAGGCCUGAGGUCUUUCCCAUUAUCCUCAUCGUGUGACUGCUCUCUCCACUGGCUUUUAAUGGCCGGUCUUGCUGUAGGACUAACACUUUGCUGGAUGACCAGAGCUUUACCAAAUGGCCUGUGUACUUGCUGAGAAAGACAGGGAAAAUGAAUGUUUCGGGGACAGAGGAACUAAUAACACAGCUACAGCUCCAUCAGUCAUCUCGCCAUUUACUGCCCCUCUGACAUUGGCAUUGUAAUCGGCUCGAUCGUCCGCAAGACAGCACUCUGAGAAAAGAUGUCUUCAAAAGAAGAGACUGUCGUUACUGGGGGCAAGUGCUCACUGAAAACAGG